ACACUGCUGAGGAGACCCAUAAUAGGUCGAAACGGCCUUCCUGUAC
rnacentral:hammerhead_ribozyme from 1 species